rnacentral:tRNA from 2 species
GGGCACGUAGCUCAGUUGGAUAGAGUAUCAGAUUCCGGUUCUGAGGGUCGGGGGUUCGAAUCCCUCCGUGCUCG